CGGCUUUUCCGCCCUGACCGUGCUCCUGAUGCCUUCCGGCCGCCGUAGGCGAAGGUUCGCGGAAGCGGCGAGCAGGCGCUCACCUGAGCUGACUCAGAAAUUGGGAUGAUUUCUCUGUGGAUCCUAUAAGGAGCCUGGAGAUGGUGAAGAGAAUGCCUUGACCAUCAGGAGACAGCUUACCUUAUUGAAUCUUGAUCACUUCUUCUGACUACUUUGGAUAUUAAAAGAACAAGAUAUGCUCAUAAGGUGCCUCAUUCUUGUAACUGCUGGAGAUAGGAUGAUGAUGACACAGAUUCUGUCUUCAAGAAGCUCACAAAAAAGUGGGAAAAUGAUGUGACUGCAGAUAAAGACCAUGAGAAGGACUCUUUACACAAGAUAUUUGCUUAAGUACUGAAGGGCCUAGAAGACAGAGUGACCAGUGUCCAAAAUCCUUUGUGAAUUGCAUUCACAUACGGCACCUGAUUUGAUUCUCAGAGCACCCAGAUGGCUGUUUUUUGGUGGUUUUUUUAAAGUAUGGAAAGACAAAUGCCCCAGUUCCCAGCAAGUUCUACUUCAUCAUGCUAUAGGCUUCUGUGAAUAGGAAAAAUGUACCACCAUCAAGAAGCAAGCAGCUUGCUUGUGUUUCAGAGGAACCACCCAUGGAAGAACGUCUUCUUGGAUUAAAACUAGUAUUGCCAUGUUCCAUUCUAGAAUGUCCAAAUGCCACCCUUCUGAAGAUGUUUAGUUCAAGAGUUUCCAUUUUCACAUUAAGUUUCGAUGUCCAUACUUAGUGGGAUGAAGAUGGUGGUGUAUGGCUUUUCUCUCUUACAACAUUUUUUUUGUCCCUUAUCUAUACAUCUUUUCCCUAAAUAUUCAGCAAGAUUUGAAGUUGUAAAAAAAUCCUAAACUUCCCCAAUUGUAGGAAUGAUAACUGGAAUAUUAUUUUAAGAGCAAAUACAUGUACAUUCCUAAUGUUGCUUGAAUGGGAAUUAUGAAGAAGAAGAAGAAAAAAAAGAAAAAAAAGAAAAACAAACCCAUGAGAGUUUGGGUUGCUAUUUCUGACCAAGUUGAAAUUGUGAAAUACCAGAAGUCCCACAGGAAAUCUUAUCUCACCGGAAGACGAUCAUGGUCUCUUGGCCAAAGAACGGUAUGCAUUUUUGUGUAAAUAAAACUUGCAGACCCAGACAGAGGGCUGGGCUACCUUGCAGCUUAGCCUGUCAUUUAUUAUCAUUCACAAGGUGGUGUUAGAUGCUCAGCUUUAAAAAGAACUGACUUUUCAGCAGUAUUUUUACCCUUGAGAGUAUAUAGAGAGAGCUCUGUGUUGUAUAUUAAUCAGAGCUUUCACGACUUGCUUUGAAUGGUAUUCGAAAUGUGUCUGGAAGAAUAGUGGAUGAACUAUGCCCAAAGUGUGCUCUAUUAUUUAUUACUCAGGAGCCUUUCCAUCUGAG